GGGAAGAGGACACCUCAGUUGAGGAACUGCUUCCACUGGAUUGGCCUGCCGGUCAUUAUCCCAGCACACUGAGUACAGCUAGGCAGGAAAAUGUGAUACACGAAGAACAGAGUUGAGGGGUGCUGACUGGGAUCCCAUCACCAUUUCUCUGCACAGAGGAAGAUUGAGAGGCUGGCCCCUGACCCAGACCAAGAUUACCACAGG